AGAUAAAAGAACAUCUCCACUUCCAUUAAAGGAGAAUCUAUUAUCAACAACAAAUCAAACUAGUAUGAUUGAACAGUUAUUUACCUCUCAACAAGAAUUUGGUUAGAACAAAACACAAAAUUACUUACCAUAUGCUCCAUUCAUAAACUUCAAUAGCUUUAUCUAAAUCCCAACCGUGUUCGAUCGUUCUUCUUUACAGGAACAUAUGU
rnacentral:misc_RNA from 1 species